rnacentral:rRNA from 1 species
UAAGGAAUAUUGGUCAAUGGACGCAAGUCUGAACCAGCCAUGCCGCGUGGAGGAUGAAGGCCCUCUGGGUUGUAAACUUCUUUUAUUUGGGACGAAACACUUCAUUUCUAUGGAGCUUGACGGUACCAGAUGAAUAAGCACCGGCUAACUCCGUGCCAGCAGCCGCGGUAAUACGGAGGGUGCAAGCGUUAUCCGGAUUCACUGGGUUUAAAGGGUGCGUAGGCGGACAUGUAAGUCCGUGGUGAAAUCUCCAAGCUUAACUUGGAAACUGCCAUGGAUACUAUAUGUCUUGAAUGUUGUGGAGGUUAGCGGAAUAUGUCAUGUAGCGGUGAAAUGCAUAGAUAUGACAUAGAACACCAAUUGCGAAGGCAGCUGGCUACACAAAUAUUGACGCUGAGGCACGAAAGCGUGGGGAUCAAACA